rnacentral:rRNA from 1 species
ACCAGACUCCUACGGGAGGCAGCAGUGGGGAAUAUUGCACAAUGGGGGAAACCCUGAUGCAGCAACGCCGCGUGAGUGAAGAAGUAUUUCGGUAUGUAAAGCUCUAUCAGCAGGGAAGAAGAAGGACGGUACCUGACUAAGAAGCCCCGGCUAACUACGUGCCAGCAGCCGCGGUAAUACGUAGGGGGCGAGCGUUAUCCGGAUUUACUGGGUGUAAAGGGAGCGUAGACGGUUAAUCAAGUCUGAAGUGAAAGCCCGCGGCUCAACUGCGGAACGGCUUUGGAAACUGAGUAACUGGAGUGCUGGAGAGGCAGGCGGAAUUCCUGGUGUAGCGGUGAAAUGCGUAGAUAUCAGGAGGAACACCGGUGGCGAAGGCGGCCUGCUGGACUGCAACUGACGUUGAGGCCCGAAAGCGUGGGGAGCAAACAGGAUUAGAUACCCUCGUA